rnacentral:lncRNA from 1 species
AUGUGAGGAAAGCGUGCGUGUGUUUGUGUGAGAGAAGUGUGUGUGUGAGAGAAAAGCUGCUUUUGGUUUGUGUGAGAGAAGUGUGUGUGUGAGGAAAGCGUGCGUGUGUUUGUGUGAGAGAAAGCGUGCGUGUGUUUGUGUGAGAGAAAGUGUGUGUGUGAGAGAAAGCGUGCGUGUGUGGUUUGUGUGAGAGAAAAGCGUGCGUGUGUUUGUGUGAGAGAAAGUGUGUGUGGAGUGGAAAGGGUCGUGUGUUUGUAUGAGAGAAAGCGUGCGUGUGUUUGUAUGAGAGAAAGCGUGCGUGUGUUUGUAUGAGAGAAAGCGUGUGUAUGAGAGAAAGCGUGUGUUUGUAUGAGAGAAGUGUUGUGUAUGAGAGAAAGCGUUGCGUGUGUUUGUAUGAGAGAAAGCGUGCGUGUGUUGUGUGAGAGAAAGCGUGCAUGUGUUGUGUGAGAGAAGAAAGUGUGUGUGUGAGAGAAGUGUGCGUGUGUUUGUAUGAGAGAAAGUGUGCGUGUGUUUGUGUGUAAGAGAAAGCGUGCGUUGUGUUU